ACUUACUUACGCUUGGCCGCGCCGCCGGGCUGGGGCGGGUCUCCCUCCAACCUGCCCUCCGCCAACAUGGCUCCGCGGCUGGGCAGCAUCUGGGCGGCGGCGCGGCUGCUGGGCGGCCCCGGGCCCCGCGCGGAGCGGGCGGCGGCGCGCUUCUAUUCCAAGGACAAUGAAGGCAGCUGGUUCCGCUCACUCUUCGUGCAUAAGGUGGACCCCCGGAAGGACGCUCACUCCACCCUCCUGUCCAAGAAGGAGACCAGCAACCUCUACAAAAUCCAGUUUCACAACGUGAAGCCCGAGUGUCUGGAUGCCUACAACAGCCUGACGGAGGCUGUGCUGCCCAAGCUGCACCUGGAUGAGGACUACCCCUGCUCGCUCGUGGGCAACUGGAACACGUGGUACGGGGAGCAGGACCAGGCAGUGCACCUGUGGCGCUUCUCCGGCGGCUACCCUGCCCUCAUGGACUGCAUGAACAAGCUCAAAAACAACAAGGAGUACCUGGAGUUCCGGAAGGAGCGGAGCCAGAUGCUGCUGUCCCGGAGAAACCAGAUGCUUCUGGAGUUCAGCUUCUGGAAUGAGCCGCAGCCCCGCGCCGGGCCCAACAUCUACGAGCUGAGGACCUACAAGCUCAAGCCAGGAACCAUGAUCGAGUGGGGGAACAACUGGGCUCGGGCCAUCAAGUACCGACAGGAGAACCAGGAGGCGGUGGGCGGCUUCUUCUCGCAGAUAGGGGAGCUCUACGUGGUGCACCAUCUCUGGGUGCCUUCCUCCCGCAGCCUACAAAGACCUGCAGUCUCGGGAAGAGACUAGAAAUGCAGCGUGGAGGAAGAGGGGUUGGGACGAAAAUGUCUACUACACAGUCCCCCUGGUGCGGCACAUGGAGUCUCGGAUCAUGAUCCCUUUGAAGAUCUCGCCUCUCCAGUGAUGCUGCUGCCGCCUGCCCUUCUCUCUCAGGGCAGCCAUGGACAGAGCAGCUCCCAGUCCGUCUGUCUUGGUUUCCUCUCUGAUCUGGAAGGACGCUGGGGGCUGGUGCUCAGCUCAGACAACAGGAAGCUGAGGAUGACAGAGGUCUGAGGACUUCGCAGCUCUGUCUGCCCUGCCCAUCCCUCCCCCUGUGCUGGAAGCAGUUUUUAAUUUCUUUGAAUGAAGGACACAACCUUUUAUGUCUUCUUACAUUCCCCCCUCCCCUAAAAUUCCUCAUCUAGAGGCCACCAGUCCCCAAGUAUCGCCAUGGAAAACAACAGCUGAGCUUUAGUUACACAAAAGGUAGUGUGUCUAGUGGUUAGAGGUGGGGUGGGCAGGGAAGAGAUCAAAGCAGACCAGGCUCACGGGGAAAUUCCCUGGUCUCCAAUGGGAAAGUCUGAACCACGUCCCUCCUGCUGGGGAAAAGCCUAGAACUGCCUAGAAUUGCAAGGAGUCAAAGAAAAUCCUCAAGUUAGCAAGGUCAGCAGGAGGCCCACCUAAUUAGCCCAAAAAGGCUGGGGGAAUGGAGCUGGAAAGGAUCCGGGGCAGGAAACGGAACAGAACAAGAACCAGGAACCCAUGCCCUACCCGGUUUGGCUCAGUGGAUAGAGUAUCGGCCUGCGGACUGAAGGGUCCCAGGUUCAAUUCCUGUCAGGGGCAUUUGGCUUGGUUGCAGGCACAUCCCUGGUGGGGGUUGUGUGGGAGGCAGCUGAUCGAUGUUCCUCUCUCAUUGCUGUUUCUGACUCUCUAGCCUUCUCCCUCUCUGUAAAAAACGCAAUAAAAAUAAAAUGAUAAAAAAUAAAAAAGAACCAGGAACCCAGAAGGUAGAACUUAGAAUUCAGAACCUGGUUUUGAGUUGCGGAACUUGGAAUACCGGAUGGGGGAAAUAGAUAGCACAGAGGGGACAAGACCACGUGGGAGGGUUUCCUAAUACAAGACAGCUGGGAAGAGGCUCACUGCUUACCCUCCACACAAUGAGGUUGAGAACUUGAAUGUAUAGCUGCAGCCCAUCUGUGCCCUCCCUUCCCUUCCUGUAGGCAGACAUCCGGCCAGGUUCUGUGCUUUUCCUCACCCGGCAUCCCUUUUCUCCAACCACCUCUGAUCACCCUAACUCUCAUUCUUCUGGGCCCCUGGGUUGUGACCUCCACACCUCAUGAACCUCUGGGUAGGUUGAUUCUGCCUCCCUUGUGCUGGAAUUGCUGAUGGAGCCAAUUAAAUGUUUAC